GCGGAAGAUGUAACGGGGCUAAACCAUGCACCGAAGCUGCGGCAGCGAACGUAUCACCCAAGACAACUUUACGGAGUUGACGAUUGACGGAGCGAAGCGACGUCAAAGCGUUCAUUAAAGUCGAGUUGGCUUAGGGAUACGUUCGUUGGGUAGGGGAGCGUUCUGUAAGCCGUUGAAGGUGGCCUGUGAGGGUUGCUGGAGGUAUCAGAAGUGCGAAUGCUGACAUAAGUAACGAUAAAGCGGGUGAAAAGCCCGCUCGCCGGAAGACCAAGGGUUCCUGUCCAACGUUAAUCGGGGCAGGGUGAGUCGACCCCUAAGGCGAGGCCGAAAGGCGUAGUCGAUGGGAAACGGGUUAAUAUUCCCGUACUUGGUGUUACUGCGAAGGGGGGACGGAGAAGGCUAUGUUGGCCGGGCGACGGUUGUCCCGGUUUAAGCGUGUAGGUGUGUGUUCCAGGUAAAUCCGGUUCACUUUAACACUGAGGCGUGACGACGAGGCACUACGGUGCUGAAGCAACAAAUGCCCUGCUUCCAGGAAAAGCCUCUAAGCAUCAGGUAACAUCAAAUCGUACCCCAAACCGACACAGGUGGUCAGGUAGAGAAUACCAAGGCGCUUGAGAGAACUCGGGUGAAGGAACUAGGCAAAAUGGUGCCGUAACUUCGGGAGAAGGCACGCUGACACGUAGGUGAAGUGAUUUACUCAUGGAGCUGAAGUCAGUCGAAGAUACCAGCUGGCUGCAACUGUUUAUUAAAAACACAGCACUGUGCAAACACGAAAGUGGACGUAUACGGUGUGACGCCUGCCCGGUGCCGGAAGGUUAAUUGAUGGGGUCAGCGCAAGCGAAGCUCCUGAUCGAAGCCCCGGUAAACGGCGGCCGUAACUAUAACGGUCCUAAGGUAGCGAAAUUCCUUGUCGGGUAAGUUCCGACCUGCACGAAUGGCGUAAUGAUGGCCAGGCUGUCUCCACCCGAGACUCAGUGAAAUUGAACUCGCUGUGAAGAUGCAGUGUACCCGCGGCAAGACGGAAAGACCCCGUGAACCUUUACUAUAGCUUGACACUGAACAUUGAGCCUUGAUGUGUAGGAUAGGUGGGAGGCUUUGAAGCGUGG
rnacentral:rRNA from 1 species